rnacentral:rRNA from 1 species
GACGAACGCUGGCGGCGUGCUUAACACAUGCAAGUCGAACGGAAAGGCCCUGCUUGCAGGGUACUCGAGUGGCGAACGGGUGAGUAACACGUGGGUGAUCUGCCCUGCACUUCGGGAUAAGCCUGGGAAACUGGGUCUAAUACCGGAUAGGAGCCAUUUUUAGUGUGAUGGUUGGAAAGUUUUUUCGGUGUAGGAUGAGCUCCCGGCCUAUCAGCUUGUUGGUGGGGUAAUGGCCUACCAAGGCGGCGACGGGUAGCCGGCCUGAGAGGGUGGACGGCCACAUUGGGACUGAGAUUCGGCCCAGACUCCUACGGGAGGCAGCAGUGGGGAAUAUUGCACAAUGGGCGCAAGCCUGAUGCAGCGACGCCGCGUGGGGGAUGACGGCCUUCGGGUUGUAAACUCCUUUCGCUAGGGACGAAGCUUUUUGUGACGGUACCUAGAUAAGAAGCACCGGCUAACUACGUG